GACGAACGCUGGCGGCGUGCCUAAUACAUGCAAGUAGAACGCACAGUUUAUACCGUAGCUUGCUACACCAUAGACUGUGAGUUGCGAACGGGUGAGUAACGCGUAGGUAACCUGCCUUGUAUCUGGGGAUAACUAUUUUAAACGAUAGCUAAUACCGCAUAAUAUUAAUUAUUGCAUGAUAAUUAAUUGAAAGUUUCAAUUUCACCACUACCAGAUGGACCUGCGUUGUAUUAUCUAGUAGGUGAGGUAACGGCUCACCUAUGCGACGAUACAUAGCCGAACUGAGAGGGUGAACGGCCAAACUGGGAAGGAGACAAGGCACAGAAGCCUACGGGAGGCAGCAGUAGGGAAUCUUCGGAAAUGGACGAAAGUCUGAACGAGAAACGACGCGUGAGUGAAGAAGGGUUUCGGAUCGUAAAGCUCUGUUGUAAGAGAAGAAAGGGAGUGAGAGUGGAAAGUUCACACUGUGACGGUAUCUAACCAGAAAGGGACGGCUAACUACGUG
rnacentral:rRNA from 1 species